rnacentral:lncRNA from 1 species
ACAACACACAACAACAAGCAACUCAAGCCUUGUAAAUCUCUCUUUAGUGCAAUACAAGUUCUCAUUUGGCUUCAUUGCUUUCUUCUCUAGUUCGAGAAGCUCUAGGCUUACUUAGCAACCUUCGGCAAAGUUGUCUAAGUGCCGCACGGGUUAGCUGCGCAAUAUACUCAUCCCGUGACAUUAGGGAGAGUAACUCUUUCACCACAAAAAGGAG